rnacentral:lncRNA from 1 species
GUAUGAUGAAGCACUGCAGCGUGUACUUUUCUUUUUUUUUUGGAUGGAAAAUUAUAGCGUGCACUUAACUUUUAAAACUAUAUCCUAUCACCAUUAUCUAAUUAAUUUUGUCUUCUAGAUCACUAUUAUCUAAUUAAUUUUGUCCCUAGCUCAACGUUUGCAUCACUGAUUUGAUGGGACAGGUCACAUGGAAAGAAAGAUAACCUAACGG